GGGGAUGUAGCUCUUUGGUAGGGCUCCUGCUUUGCAUGCUGGAGUCCAAAGGUUUGAUUCCCAGCCUCCCCA
rfam:Cricetulus griseus cell line CHO-K1, whole genome shotgun sequence.